rnacentral:rRNA from 1 species
UACGAAGGGGGCUAGCGUUGCUCGGAAUCACUGGGCGUAAAGGGUGCGUAGGCGGGUCUUUAAGUCAGGGGUGAAAUCCUGGAGCUCAACUCCAGAACUGCCUUUGAUACUGAGGAUCUUGAGUUCGGGAGAGGUGAGUGGAACUGCGAGUGUAGAGGUGAAAUUCGUAGAUAUUCGCAAGAACACCAGUGGCGAAGGCGGACUCAC